rnacentral:rRNA from 1 species
GAUGAACGCUGGCGGCGUGCCUAAUACAUGCAAGUCGAGCGAACGGACGAGAAGCUUGCUUCUCUGAUGUUAGCGGCGGACGGGUGAGUAACACGUGGAUAACCUACCUAUAAGACUGGGAUAACUUCGGGAAACCGGAGCUAAUACCGGAUGAUAUUUUGAACCGCAUGGUUCAAAAGUGAAAGACGGUCUUGCUGUCACUUAUAGAUGGAUCCGCGCUGCAUUAGCUAGUUGGUAAGGUAACGGCUUACCGAGGCAACGAUGCAUAGCCGACCUGAGAGGGUGAUCGGCCACACUGGACUGAGACACGGUCCAGACUCCUACGGGAGGCAGCAGUAGGGAAUCUUCCGCAAUGGGCGAAAGCCUGACGGAGCAACGCCGCGUGAGUGAUGAAGGUCUUCGGAUCGUAAAACUCUGUUAUUAGGGAAGAACAUAUGUGUAAGUAACUGUGCACAUCUUGACGGUACCUAAUCAGAAAGCCACGGCUAACUACGUG